UGGGGAAUAUUGGACAAUGGGCGAAAGCCUGAUCCAGCCAUGCCGCGUGGAGGAUGAAGGUCCUCUGGAUUGUAAACUUCUUUUAUCUGGGAAGAAAUCCAAGAUUUCUAUUUUGGUUGACGGUACCAGAUGAAUAAGCACCGGCUAACUCCGUGCCAGCAGCCGCGGUAAUACGGAGGGUGCAAGCGUUAUCCGGAUUCACUGGGUUUAAAGGGUGCGUAGGUGGGUUGGUAAGUCAGUGGUGAAAUCCCCGAGCUUAACUUGGGAACUGCCAUUGAUACUAUCAAUCUUGAAUACUGUGGAGGUCAGCGGAAUAUGUCAUGUAGCGGUGAAAUGCUUAGAUAUGACAUAGAACACCAAUUGCGAAGGCAGCUGGCUACACAAAUAUUGACACUCAGGCACGAAAGCGUGGGGAUCAAA
rnacentral:rRNA from 1 species